rnacentral:rRNA from 1 species
GACGAACGCUGGCGGCGUGCUUAACACAUGCAAGUCGAACGGUGAUGCUCCAGCUUGCUGGAGUGGAUCAGUGGCGAACGGGUGAGUAACACGUGAGCAACCUGCCCCAGACUCUGGAAUAAGCGCUGGAAACGGCGUCUAAUACUGGAUACGAAACUGGCCCGCAUGGGCAUGGUUUGGAAAGUUUUUCGGUUUGGGAUGGGCUCGCGGCCUAUCAGCUUGUUGGUGAGGUAAUGGCUCACCAAGGCGACGACGGGUAGCCGGCCUGAGAGGGCGACCGGCCACACUGGGUCUGAGACACGGCCCAGACUCCUACGGGAGGCAGCAGUGGGGAAUAUUGCACAAUGGGCGAAAGCCUGAUGCAGCGACGCCGCGUGAGGGAUGACGGCCUUCGGGUUGUAAACCUCUUUCAGCAGGGAAGAAGCGAAAGUGACGGUACCUGCAGAAGAAGCACCGGCUAACUACGUG